rnacentral:rRNA from 1 species
GAUGAACGCUGGCGGCGUGCCUAAUACAUGCAAGUCGAGCGAACAGACGAGGAGCUUGCUCCUCUGCCGUUAGCGGCGGACGGGUGAGUCCCACGUGGAUAACCUACCUAUAAGACUGGGAUAACUUCGGGAAACCGGAGCUAACACCGGAUAAUAUAUUGAACCGCAUGGUUCAAUAGUGAAAGACGGUUUUGCUGAGACUUAGAGAUGGAUCCGCGCCGCAUUAGCUAGUUGGUAAGGUAACGGCUUACCAAGGCAACGAUGCGUAGCCGACCUGAGAGGGUGAUCGGCCACACUGGAACUGAGACACGGUCCAGACUCCUACGGGAGGCAGCAGUAGGGAAUCUUGCGCAAUGGGCGAAAGCCUGACGGAGCAACGCCGCGUGAGUGAUGAAGGUCUUCGGAUCGUAAAGCUCUGUUAGUAGGGAAGAACAAAUGUGUAAGUAACUCUGCACGUCUUGACGGUACCUAAUCAGAAAGCCACGGCUAACUACGUG